AAAGAUAAGGAGAGAGGAAAAAGAGAAGAAAUUAACUUGGGGAAGAAGUCAGUUUUAUAUAACAUUGAAGCCAAAACCACUAUUUUCUCCCGUCUCCCAGCUCUUUGAUUCCUCUGCAUCGGUGCGAGCUCAUCUUUUCAUCGCUUAGGGAUUUCGCUAAUAUCUGAGAUAUGGAUCUUAACAAACUCUAUCUAAAUGCCCCUCAUUCCAUGGGCACGACCAUCAUCGGUGUCACUUACAACGAAGGAGUUGUUCUCGGAGCCAACUCUCGGACCAGCACUAGCUGCAAAGGGGUGGUACUGCGGUUUAACGUUGGCUGGGUAGGGGUUAUCAGCAAGGGGAAAAGAAUCUCAAGCUCACCAAGAGAGGUGGUUCCUUUCUCUUUGCCAGGAGCUACAUGACGAAUGAAAGGGGUUUGAAUUCAUAGAGAAAGCUCGGGAAGACGAGAGAGAGAUUUGUGUGAAGUGAAAUUAAAAGGAAACUCAUCCCUACCACAACAUCAUGAUCACAAAUCCUUCAAAAUACUAAAAUACCCUCCUUCAAACCGAAUCAAAUAUAAAGAAUCCAAAGGCCACCUUGACGUAGGCUGGCACCCUUGAAAAUGGACUCUCUGACCUUUGUUAGGGAACAGUUGUAAGCCUAAUAUUUUAGACCUAUUGGUGGAUAAGCUUGAAAUUGAUGGUCUGAUCUAUACAUACGCACCAUAUUGCUGCUGCAUAGCUAAUUGAAAUAACUUUUCCUCAUGCAUUAAUUCAUAUUUAUCAUAUACACCUACCCUUUUAGAAAACAACUAUACAUACGUACACUUAAAUCUUUUUUUUUCUUCGCAUCGUAUGUACACUUAAAUCUUUGUAUAUAUAUAUGCAUAUAUGAUAUUUUAAAUAAUAAAAGCUGGCAGGGUAGAGCAAUUUGUUUGUUACAUAUAGUUAAUCCCAACAAUAAAAUUUUAAUUCUAAUUAGAUGAUUAAAUAAUUUAAUUCUUAAAAAAUUAUUUUAAAAAAUUAUGAAACACCAGCUUCAUUGACAUGUGUUGAGGAUGAGCUCAGUGAGAGGGUGAAAUGGUGGCAAGUGGCAAGUCAGUUUGGCGAGUUCUCUUCAUUGACAUGUGUUGAGGAUGAGCUCAGCGAGAGGGUGAAAUGGUGGCAAGUGGCACACCAGUUUGGCGAGUUCUCCCUUCGUUAAUGGUGGAACAUCUUGUAUGCUCACUACAUGCGUCAUCCAACCCAUUGAUAUGAUCAAGGUGAGGAUUCAAUUGGGUUAGGGGAUCAGCAGCCCAAGUGGCGAGGACCAUGCUUAAGGAGGAGGGCUUUGGUGCCUUUUACAAGCUUCCAUUCCAAUGCAAUAGCUGGCACACGUAUAGAAGGGGAAAAAUAAGAAGAAAUGGGACUGUAGUUUUUCAAAAUUGUAACUUAUUAUAAUGUUUUGUCAUUAUAAUUUAUAGGAAAAGACAAUAGUAUCCCUGCCUAAUUAAUUUGGCACUAUUUUUCUUCAAAAAUUUGAGUUAUUAUAUUAAUGGAUUUCAAACAGACAACACAUUUGGUCA